UACAGAGGUCUCAAGCGUUGUUCGGAUUCAUUGGGCGUAAAGGGUGCGUAGGUGGCGCCGUAAGUCAGGUGUGAAAUCUCGGGGCUCAACCCCGAAACUGCACUUGAUACUGCGGUGCUCGAGUACUGGAGAGGAGAUUGGAAUUUACGGUGUAGCAGUGAAAUGCGUAGAUAUCGUAAGGAAGACCAGUGGCGAAGGCGAAUCUCUGGACAGUUACUGACACUGAGGCACGAAGGCCAGGGGGAGCAA
rnacentral:rRNA from 1 species